rnacentral:misc_RNA from 1 species
GUGGUUUAAAUUUCAUCUUUCUGAUUUCUACAUUUGGUGCCUAUUUUGGGAAUGGUGAGGUUUUUCGAUAUGCCGUGGUCCAGAGACAACUAAGUCAAGACCAAUUGUACAUGUUUAAUUGUCUAAUUUUCUUGGUUUCCCUGGUUGCAUGGAUGGAAUCUCCUAUGAUGGGGCAGGGGGAAAAAUUAAAUGAGUUAUGUAUAUUCUUUUAUUGGCAGCACUUAUUUCAUACAGAGGCUUCCAUGCACAUAAUGAGAAGAUGUAAAACAGCUUC